rfam:Metarhizium robertsii ARSEF 23 MAA_Scf_3, whole genome shotgun sequence.
AGAGAAUUGGCCGAGUGGUUUAAGGCGGUAAGUUUGAGUUUUACUUGGUUAGAAAUAGCUUCAUCAGUUCGAAUCUGAUAUUCUCUG